rnacentral:rRNA from 1 species
AAACUUGAGAGUUUGAUCCUGGCUCAGAGUGAACGCUGGCGGCACGCCUAACACAUGCAAGUCGAGCGAGAAACUAAACUUCGGUUUAGCGGAAAGCGGCGGACGGGUGAGUAACGCGUGGGAAUUUACCAAAGAGUGGGGAACAACUGCUGGAAACGGCAGCUAAUACCGCAUACGCCCUAUGGGGGAAAGGCUUCGGCCGCUCUUUGAGAAGCCCGCGUACGAUUAGUUUGUUGGUGGGGUAAUGGCCUACCAAGACUACGAUCGUUAGCUGGUCUGAGAGGACGAUCAGCCACACUGGGACUGAGACACGGCCCAGACUCCUACGGGAGGCAGCAGUGGGGAAUCUUGGACAAUGGGGGCAACCCUGAUCCAGCCAUGCCGCGUGUGUGAAGAAGGCCUUCGGGUUGUAAAGCACUUUCAGUUGUGAGGAAAAGUUAGUAGUUAAUACCUGCUAGCCGUGACGUUAACAACAGAAGAAGCACCGGCUAA